AAUCGAUAUUAAACUCUAUGUAUUAGAGUCUAAUUGGUUCAUGAGAUAUGGGUUUGAGAUCUGGUCAUUGGUUCAUGAGAUUUGGGUAUUGGUUUAUGAGAUUUGGGUAUUGGUUCAUGGGAUAUGGGUAUUAGGUUGGAUGUAUGGUUCAUGGGAUUUGGUCCAUGAGGUUUAGUUGUGGUUCAUGGGAUUUGGUCCAUGAGGUUUGGUUUUGGCUCAUGGGAUUUGGUCCAUGAGAUUUGGUUUUGGCUCAUGGAAUUUGGCCCAUGAGAUUUGGUUUAUGGUUUAUGGAAUUUGAUCCAUGAGGUUUAGUUGUGGUUCAUGGGAUUUGGUCUAUGAACUUGGUUUUGGUUCAUGGGAUUUGGUCCAUGAGAUUUGGUUUUGGCUCAUGGGAUUUGGUCCAUGAGAUUUGGUUUUGGUUCAUAGAAUUUG
rnacentral:lncRNA from 1 species